GAUGAACGCUGGCGGCGUGCCUAAUACAUGCAAGUCGAGCGAACGGACGAGAAGCUUGCUUCUCUGAUGUUAGCGGCGGACGGGUGAGUAACACGUGGAUAACCUACCUAUAAGACUGGGAUAACUUCGGGAAACCGGAGCUAAUACCGGAUAAUAUUUUGAACCGCAUGGUUCAAAAGUGAAAGACGGUCUUGCUAUCACUUAUAGAUGGAUCCGCGCUGCAUUAGCUAGUUGGUAAGGUAACGGCUUACCAAGGCAACGAUGCAUAGCCGACCUGAGAGGGUGAUCGGCCACACUGGAACUGAGACACGGUCCAGAAUCCUACGGGAGGCAGCAGUAGGGAAUCUUCCGCAAUGGGCGAAAGCCUGACGGAGCAACGCCGCGUGAGUGAUGAAGGUCUUCGGAUCGUAAAACUCUGUUAUUAGGGAAGAACAUAUGUGUAAGUAACUGUGCACAUCUUGACGGUACCUAAUCAGAAAGCCACGGCUAACUACGUG
rnacentral:rRNA from 1 species